UACGGAGGGGGCCAGCGUUGUUCGGAAUCAUUGGGCGUAAAGGGCGCGUAGGUGGCGCUGUAAGUCGGGUGUGAAAUCCUGAGGCUUAACCUCGGAACUGCAGUCGAUACUGCGGCGCUUGAGGACUGGAGAGGAGACUGGAAUUCAUGGUGUAGCAGUGAAAUGCGUAGAGAUCAUGAGGAAGACCAGUGGCGAAGGUGGGUCUCUGGACAGUACCUGACACUGAGGCACGAAGGCCAGGGGAGCAAACGGG
rnacentral:rRNA from 1 species